CAGGAAACGAAUGGUAAGUCCCUCAAUGGCCUCAAAGUUUAUGGCCAUUAAUAGGAUUUUAGCCUGGAGAGUUUUUAGGGCAGACUUUACUAGUUGCCCAGUAUAAUCAUAGAAAAAGCACAGCAUUCUGAAAGGAGUCACUUUGCUGAUUAUGAACCCAACUCGUUUUGCUGCAGUUGUGAAGAAAUUUGAUAUAUAUAUCUUAACGUUGUCAGCAGUUAUUUGAAAUUUGCAAGGAUAUCAUUGAAAUUUAUAAUUACCCAAGUUUCCAAGGAUCUGGCAUUUGUAUUUUUAAGAAUCUAAAACUUAAAGUAUAAUAAUAAUAAUAAUAAUAAUAAUAAUAAUAAAAAUCUCAAAAAAAAAUCUAAAGCAGAAUGAAAUAUUUUCAUUGAUUUGUGUUUUCUCUGACUUGGCAUAUAGGUUGGCACAGUUAAUUAUAUGCCACCAGAAGCAAUCAAAGAUAUGUCUUCCUCCAGAGAGAACGGGAAAUCUAAGUCAAAGAUAAGCCCCAAAAGUGAUGUUUGGUCCUUAGGAUGUAUUUUGUACUAUAUGACUUACGGGAAGACACCAUUUCAGCAGAUAAUUAAUCAGAUUUCUAAAUUGCAUGCCAUAAUUGAUCCUAAUCAUGAAAUUGAAUUUCCUGAUAUUCCAGAGAAAGAUCUUCAAGAUGUGUUAAAGUGUUGUUUAAAAAGGGACCCAAAACAGAGGAUAUCCAUUCCUGAGCUCCUGGCUCAUCCAUAUGUUCAAAUUCAAA
rnacentral:sRNA from 1 species